AUACAUGCAAGUCGAGCGGAAAGGCCCCUUCGGGGGUACUCGAGCGGCGAACGGGUGAGUAACAGGUGGGUAAUCUGCCUUUCGGAGGGGGAUAACGGCUGGAAACGGCCGCUAAUACCCCGUACGGUUGCGAAGCUCUCGGGCUUUGCAAAGAAAGGGGCCCUUAAAGCCCCGCCGAAAGAUGAGCCCGCCCCCCAUUAGCUAGUUGGCGGGGUAACGGCCCACCAAGGCUGUGAUGGGUAGCCGAGCUGAGAGGUUGAUCGGCCACACUGGAACUGAGACACGGUCCAGACACCUACGGGUGGCAGCAGUAGGGAAUAUUGGGCAAUGGGCGAAAGCCUGACCCAGCCAUGCCGCGUGAGUGAUGAAGGUCCUAGAGAUUGUAAAACUCUUUUCUGAGGAAAGAAUGAAUAGGGAAGGAAAUGUCCUUAUUUUGACGGUACCUCAGGAAUAAGCAACGGCUAACUCCGUGCCAGCAGCCGCGGUAAUACGGAGGUUGCAAGCGUUGUUCGGAAUGACUGGGCGUAAAGGGAGCGCAGGCGGCCAAGUCAGUCUGAAGUGAAAGCCCGGGGCUUAACCCCGGAAUAGCUUUGGAUACUGCCUGGCUUGAGUGUGCGAUAGGAAAGCGGAAUUCCAGGUGUAGCGGUGAAAUGCGUAGAUAUCUGGAGGAACACCGGUGGCGAAAGCGGCUUUCUGGCGCAUAACUGACGCUGAGGCUCGAAAGCGUGGGGAGCGAACGGGAUUAGAUACCCCGGUAGUCCACGCCGUAAACGUUGUGCACUAGGUGUGGGAGGUAUCGACCCCUUCCGUGCCGAAGCUAACGCAUUAAGUGCACCGCCUGGGGAGUACGGUCGCAAGACUGAAACUCAAAGGAAUUGACGGGGGCCCG
rnacentral:rRNA from 1 species